rnacentral:tRNA from 1 species
AGGACAGUAGCUCAGUUGGUAGAGCAUCGGUCUCCAAAACCGAAGGUCGCAGGUUCGACCCCUGUCUGCCCUGCCA